rnacentral:rRNA from 1 species
UACGGAGGGUGCUAGCGUUGUUCGGAAUCACUGGGCGUAAAGGGCGCGUAGGCGGCUUCAGGUGUCGGAUGUGAAAGCCCGGGGCUCAACCCCGGAGGUGCAUCCGAAACUCUGGGGCUGGAGGCCGGAAGAGGAGGGUGGAAUACCCAGUGUAGAGGUGAAAUUCGUUGAUAUUGGGUGGAACACCGGUGGCGAAAGCGGCUCUCUGGUCCGGGCCUGACGCUGAGGCGCGAAAGCGUGGGGAGCAAACAGG